rnacentral:rRNA from 1 species
CGCCUUUUGAAUUAUAUACAUAAAAGGUCCUGCCUGCCCAGUGACUUGUUUUUAACGGCCGCGGUAUCAUGACCGUGCAAAGGUAGCGUAAUCACUUGUCUUUUAAAUAAAGACCAGUAUGAAUGGCAAGACGAAAGCCUAACUGUCUCCCUAGAUUUGUCAAUAAAAUUGAUCUUCCCGUGCAGAAGCGGGAAUAAAUAUAUAAGACGAGAAGACCCUGUGGAGCUUCAAACUUAAGCUAACAACCACAAAUGCCUUAGCACCCAGUUUUAGGUUGGGGCGACCACGAGGUAAAACAUAACCCUCAAGAUAAACAAAGAAAGACACUUCAAAUAAAUUCAUAAUAUAUUGACCCAAUAAUUGAUCAACGAACCAAGUUACCCCAGGGAUAACAGCGCAAUCUACUCAAAGAGCCCUUAUCGACGAGUAGGUUUACGACCUCGAUGUUGGAUCAGGACUCCCCAAUAACGCAACAGUUAUUAAAGGUUCGUUUGUUCAACGAUUAAAGUCCU